rnacentral:tRNA from 1 species
CAGAGGGUAGUUUUAAUUAAGAAUGCCAGCUUUGGGAGUUGGUGGUGAUGGUUCAACUCCAUCUCCUUUGA